rnacentral:rRNA from 1 species
UAGUUUGAUCCUGGCUCAGAACGAACGCUGGCGGCGUGGAUAAGACAUGCAAGUCGAACGGGACUAAAUCUGUAGCAAUACAGGUUUAGUUUAGUGGCGAACGGGUGCGUAACACGUGGGCAAUCUGCCGAGAAGUGGGGGAUAGCUCGCCGAAAGGCGAAUUAAUACCGCAUAUGAUCAGGGACGACAUCUUCCCAACAUCAAAGCCGGGGUAACCUGGCGCUUCUUGAUGAGCCCGCGGCCUAUCAGCUAGUUGGUGAGGUAACGGCUCACCAAGGCUAUGACGGGUAGCUGGUCUGAGAGGACGACCAGUCACACUGGAACUGAGACACGGUCCAGACACCUACGGGUGGCAGCAGUCGAGAAUUUUUCUCAAUGGGGGCAACCCUGAAGGAGCGACGCCGCGUGGAGGAUGAAGGCUUUCGGGUUGUAAACUCCUGUCAUUUGAGAACAAGUGUAGCUAAGUAACUACUGGCUACUUGAUAGUAUCAGAAGAGGAAGAGACGGCUAACUCUGUGCCAGCAGCCGCGGUAAUACAGAGGUCUCAAGCGUUGUUCGGAUUCAUUGGGCGUAAAGGGUGCGUAGGUGGCGGGGUAAGUCAGGUGUGAAAUUUCGGAGCUUAACUCCGAAACUGCAUUUGAUACUGCCUUGCUUGAGGACUGGAGAGGAGACUGGAAUUCACGGUGUAGCAGUGAAAUGCGUAGAGAUCGUGAGGA